rnacentral:rRNA from 1 species
GACGAACGCUGGCGGCGUGCUUAACACAUGCAAGUCGAACGGAAAGGCCUCUUUCGGGGGGUACUCGAGUGGCGAACGGGUGAGUAACACGUGAGUAACCUGCCCUUGACUUUGGGAUAACUUCAGGAAACUGGGGCUAAUACCGGAUAGGAGCUCCUGCUGCAUGGUGGGGGUUGGAAAGUUUCGGCGGUUGGGGAUGGACUCGCGGCUUAUCAGCUUGUUGGUGGGGUAGUGGCUUACCAAGGCUUUGACGGGUAGCCGGCCUGAGAGGGUGACCGGCGACAUUGGGACUGAGAGACGGCCCAGACUCCUACGGGAGGCAGCAGUGGGGAAUAUUGCACAAUGGGUGGAAGCCUGACGCAGCAACGCCGUGUGCGGGAUGACGGCCUUCGGGUUGUAAACCGCUUUCGCUCAUGACGAAGCUUUGUGUGACGGUAGUGGGUAAAGAAGCACCGGCUAACUACGUG